UCGAGUAUGGUGUAACGGCUAACAUUACCGCCUUUCAGAAUCGGCUGGUUCUAUGUUAACGCGGUAGCUCGGGGUUCGAUUCCCCGUACUCGAA
rnacentral:tRNA from 1 species